ACGGGUGAGUAACGCGUGGGAACGUACCUUUUGGUUCGGAACAACACAGGGAAACUUGUGCUAAUACCGGAUAAGCCCUUACGGGGAAAGAUUUAUCGCCGAAAGAUCGGCCCGCGUCUGAUUAGCUAGUUGGUAGGGUAAUGGCCUACCAAGGCGACGAUCAGUAGCUGGUCUGAGAGGAUGAUCAGCCACAUUGGGACUGAGACACGGCCCAAACUCCUACGGGAGGCAGCAGUGGGGAAUAUUGGACAAUGGGCGCAAGCCUGAUCCAGCCAUGCCGCGUGAGUGAUGAAGGCCCUAGGGUUGUAAAGCUCUUUUGUACGGGAAGAUAAUGACGGUACCGUAAGAAUAAGCCCCGGCUAACUUCGUGCCAGCAGCCGCGGUAAUACGAAGGGGGCUAGCGUUGCUCGGAAUCACUGGGCGUAAAGGGUGCGUAGGCGGGUUUUUAAGUCAGAGGUGAAAUCCUGGAGCUCAACUCCAGAACUGCCUUUGAUACUGAAAGUCUUGAGUAUGGGAGAGGUGAGUGGAACUGCGAGUGUAGAGGUGAAAUUCGUAGA
rnacentral:rRNA from 2 species